UCAUGAGGGGACAGCUCACCAUAAUGCUGUGUUGAAAUGGCAUCUACCUUCAAAAUACCUGGAGAGAGUGCAGAUAAUCAAUUGGAGAAUGGCAGAGAUGUGGGACUUCCUCCCGCUGACAAAGCACUGCAGAAGAGGUUCUUUGAGGAAUGGUCAACCUGAACAGAGGAAUGUUUCUGAUAGUGAGUGAGAAUUUGUACAGCUUCUUGACAAAGACAAGAUUCCAAAAAACUCAAGAGAGGAUCAAACUGCCCAAACUUCAAAACACAUGCAUUCAGAUAUGUGUACAAAUUCCACAAGACUGGGUCAUGAAAAAUCUCUUAUCAUCUCCUCCGAUGGACAGAUACAAGGGACAAAAAAACCUGCAAGUGCAAAUCAAAUAAAUAAUCAUCAAAAGAUGGGAGAUAAUGUUCCCAGGCCUCCACUGACUUGGACCCAUAAAGUCGGAGACGCGAGCUGUGAGCCCGGACCAGUGUCUCUGCCAUGCCAACUGUUUCAUGAUGCUGAAUGAGGUCUCGCCGCCCUCCUGUCCUGCUUCAGUUUGUUUGACAUCCUCAUGAGCUGGGCCUUUGGAUUAAGAGGCUGCUGUUAUGCUUCAGUUUUUCAGAACGUGUGGCACUUCACAUCCUCCACAUUCAUGUGAGGAGAGUUAUCAAAACUGUCCUGAAUUAAUUAAAAUAGAAUAUGCCCCAUGAUCUCUGGCAGCUCAGAUAGGAGAGGGAAGCACAACCAGGUACAGGAAAUCUGCUGUGGACUGGCCUCUAUAUAGCAGAAAAAACCAAAAAACAGAGCUUGCCUGUGGAUGAAGAAAGCUGCCUGUGCCUAAAACAGGAGUGCAGCGUGGAGAGCCAGGGAUACACAGUACCUGAUCAGAAUCAAAUGCAACCCUGCUGUAUGGUGGCAUCCCUGCAGGCUGCACGGGGCAUCACUGUUUUCUUUCACAGGCAGGAGGCAUGUCUGUUCUACUCUGAAAAGGCUCCCUGCCAUGAUCCUGAUGGUGGUCUAAACGCAGCACCAUAUCUGAAACCAAGCAAUGUGCAAGGACACGGACUCCAUUGUGUCAAUUAACUCCUAAAUCUUCAUAGAGCUCAAGACUGUCUGCUUAGCUCAAAUACUGGGGAGCUGAUAAGCAAAAAAAUCCAGUGGAAGGUCAAAGAAGAUGAUUUUGGAGAAGAGGCAUCACCUGCG